AGAGUUUGAUCAUGGCUCAGGAUAAACGCUGGCGGCGCACAUAAGACAUGCAAGUCGAACGAACUUGACCAUUAGUUUACUAUUGGAGCGGUUAGUGGCGGACUGGUGAGUAACACGUAAGCAACCUGCCUAUCAGAGGGGAACAACAGUUAGAAAUGACUGCUAAUACCGCAUAUGCCUUAGAAUCACAUGGUUCAAAAGGGAAAGGAGCAAUCCACUGGUAGAUGGGCUUGCGU
rnacentral:rRNA from 1 species